CCAGACGGCUGGGCGACCGCUCCCCGGAAACGGGGGGAGGAAAGUCCGGGCUCCACGGAAACACGGUGCCGGAUAACGUCCGGCGGGGGCGACCCUAGGGAAAGUGCCACAGAGAGCAGACCGCCGGCCAAGUCCUUCGGGGCCGCCGGUAAGGGUGAAAGGGUGCGGUAAGAGCGCACCGCGCCCCCGGCAACGGGGGUGGCAUGGCAAACCCCACCGGGAGCAAGACCAAAUAGGGGCGGCAGGCGGGUUCACGCUCGCCAGACGCGUUUCCGCGUCGCAGCCCGGGUCGGUCGCGCGAGGCGCUCGGUAACGAGCGUCCCAGAGGAAUGGUCGUCGCCGCCCUUCGGGGCGGACACAAAACCCGGCUUACAGGCCGUCUGGCGUU
rnacentral:RNase_P_RNA from 1 species